CCUGAGGUAGCAGAACGGAGGGAUCUGGCUGGCAACGUUCUGUGUGUGACGUCUUUUGAGGACAGGAGUCCCUGGCACAUCCACGCCCACCUCCUGAAGAGUGUUUCUUAUCUGUUGGACAGAUGAUUGGGGGGUUUUCAUCAUUUUGCUUCAUAAUGGCUUCCUAAUUCAUUGGCACAAUUCUGGUCCUCUUGUUGACAAACGCCAAUAGCAGAUUCCAAAGGCAAUCAAAAGCCUAGGAUCAAGACUAGAUACUGAAAGCUCU